GAAGUGGUCCCAGAGAGGUCUUAGGUGGAACAGUCAGGAGGAGGCACAGGUCAACUUGCAGAAUUACUGAAGAAUCAGGACCCCAAAUUUUAUGUCAAUUGAUCUAUUCCCCUCUUUUUAUGUCUGGGGCAGGUUUUUUCCUUUUUUUUUUUUAAUCCCUCCUUAGCUUUUAAUGCGCUCAUAAUCCCAUUCCCUAUGUAACGGGGGCAGCGAUCAAGUAAUGAAUGCAUCAAGCCAUCAAUACCAGCGAGAGCCAGUAACACCGGCUAGAGCCAUCAACACCGGCUUCCACCAUGUCCUGCUCCCAACCAUUUAUCAACCUUUUUUUUUUUUAUCUGUCUCUAUCGCUUGGCCUGAGUUGGGAGUGGAGUCUCUGUGGGGUGCUGGCCACGCACCCGCAGAGAAAUAAAAGGAAUUGAGAAGGCCGCUACCUGGCCUGACUUCUGGGGACAGUGGCUGGUCCCCAGAAGUUCUGAGGAGUGGAGGGGGCGUGGGGCAGUGUCCCCUCAGGUGUUAGGAAGGUGCUCGGAGGCCACAAAGAUGGGGCCCCCAGCUGGCCCUGCCAGUUGGGGGGGAAGGGGAUGUAGAUGUAAGACUAGAGAGGUUCCAUCAGGCGGGAGCAAGUGGCUGCCUUCUGAGCACUUGGGGGAGGUCCUCCCCGUGCCCCUCAGUGUCAUCUUGCCCACUCCUCAGCACCCCAUCUUACCCUCAGGAGGUCUGGAGCUCUACAGACCUCCUGGGGGCAAGGUGGGGUGAGGCCUGGAGCUGGGGAAGCGAGGAGGCUUUAAAGCCUUCAGAGCCAGGAGAACUGUGUACAUGGGGUUGUCUGGGCCCUGGGGCCCGAGGGUCUGGUGAGCCGUAGCAGCCACUCCACGGUGCCUAGGACUGCGGCGGGGAACAGGGCGGCUGGAGGUUUACCUCACCCCCACUUCUGCUUCCAGUGCAGUCCCCCUGCCCAACAGUCCUACUAGUAAUCUAGAGGCCUGAGGCUUCUGGGCCCAGGUGACAGGACUGGCACCACCCUGGGGGCGGUGUGUGUCAGCCAGCCAUGGCACAGAGGGUUCUCAGCAAGUGCCUAAAGAAUGGGCCAUUUGGAACAUUGGACAGAAACUCAAAGAGUAAAUUGUUAUAAUUGGAGAAUAUGAAUUGGCCUGGUACCCAAAAUAUCUCGAGGCACCCUAAAUUACCUGCCCAUUUGACUGGACAUCCACCCAGUGUUAAUAUGCCUCGUGGGAUGGGUGUUUUCAGGGGCAUUUGCUGACCAUCCUCUGUGUCCCCAGAUUUGCAGUUCUCCCCAUCAUAGGUCACCCUGAUGCAGGCACCUCCCUGGCCUCCCAUGCCUAGUGUGGCCCUCCAUCUUGUUUUGUCUCUUCCCUACUGUCUUCGGUGGGAUCCCCUCUUGGGUCCCCCAAUUUGUCAUCCUGUGAAGACUUCCCACGCGUCGAAUGCCAUAUGUCACCUGUGCCACUGCCCAUGUCAUCCAGCAGUGGCCCCGGGUAUUUGCCCCAACUCAGUCCUUUUAACAUGCAUUUUCUGGCAAAAUCCAAAGCUUGGGUUUUGUUUUUAACCUGUUAACGCUUGCAAACCUAAUAAAGCAUUCAAAAUAC
ensembl:lncRNA